GGCUUUGCACAGUGGCAGUAUUGUAGCCAAUGAGGUUUAUCCGAGGCACGAUUUAUUGCUAAUUGAAAACUUUUAAAAGGUUAAAUGUGGCUUUAAAAUCCAUUUAGGGGGAUCAGCGGUUUAGCGCCUGCCUUUGGCCCAGGGCGCAAUCCUGGAAACCCGGAAUCGAG
rnacentral:snRNA from 2 species